AAUGGACCAAGGGAGAGGUACACUAACGUAGUCGGGUCCUCGGAGAAGGUUCCGGUCCUGGGAAAAGGUUCCUGGUAGAUUUUUUAGGUCAAUGAGUUCACUGAUCUGGACGAAUCGUGAUGAAUUAUUUGAGAUAACAAACAAAACAAGAAGUUUGAUAGCGAUGUGUUUGUAGUUGUGACUUGUCAGAAGAAAGUACAACUGACGUAAAAGAAUGCGUUUGGCGAGACGUGACUAUCUUUAAAUGCCGAAAUUAAUGUACAUGAGAGAUGUACAUUGCGAUAGCGAUGUGUUUGUAGUUGUGACUUGUCAGAAGAAAGUACAACUGACGUAAAAGAAUGCGUUUGGCGAGACGUGACUAUCUUUAAAUGCCGAAAUUAAUGUACAUGAGAGGUGUACAUUGCGAUAGCGAAAAAAAAAAAAAAAAAAACAAUUCAGCCACUGUGAGAUUCCAUCAAUCCUACAAUAAAUCCUACCAUGAGCUCAUUCUGUUGCUGAAACAUAAAAUAGUCUACGGAUAAUAAUAUUUU